rnacentral:tRNA from 2 species
GUGGUUAUAGCUCAGUUGGUUAGAGCGACGGAUUGUGGUUCCGUAGGUCGCGGGUUCGAGUCCCGUUUUCCACCCGA